rnacentral:rRNA from 1 species
AGAGUUUGAUCCUGGCUCAGAUUGAACGCUGGCGGCAUGCCUAACACAUGCAAGUCGAACGGCAGCACAGUGGUAGCAAUACCAUGGGUGGCGAGUGGCGGACGGGUGAGUAAUGCAUCGGGACCUACCUGAACGUGGGGGAUAACGUAGGGAAACUUACGCUAAUACCGCAUACGUCCUACGGGAGAAAGCGGGGGAUCUUCGGACCUCGCGCGGUCAGACGGACCGAUGUUCGAUUAGCUAGUUGGUAGGGUAAUGGCCUACCAAGGCGACGAUCGAUAGCUGGUCUGAGAGGAUGAUCAGCCACACUGGAACUGAGACACGGUCCAGACUCCUACGGGAGGCAGCAGUGGGGAAUAUUGGACAAUGGGCGCAAGCCUGAUCCAGCAAUGCCGCGUGUGUGAAGAAGGCCUUCGGGUUGUAAAGCACUUUUAUCGGGAGCGAAAUACUAUCGGUUAAUAACCGGUGGGGCUGACGGUACCCGAGGAAUAAGCACCGGCUAACUUCGUGCCAGCAGCCGCGGUAAUACGAAGGGUGCAAGCGUUAAUCGGAAUUACUGGGCGUAAAGGGUGCGUAGGCGGUUUGUUAAGUCUGUCGUGAAAUCCCCGGGCUCAACCUGGGAAUGGCGAUGGAUACUGGCAAGCUAGAGUGUGUCAGAGGAUGGUGGAAUUUCCGGUGUAGCGGUGAAAUGCGUAGAGAUCGGAAGGAACAUCAGUGGCGAAGGCGGCCAUCUGGGACAACACUGACGCUGAAGCACGAAAGCGUGGGGAGCAAACAGGAUUAGAUACCCUAGUAGUCC